UUGACCUCAAAUCGGGUGAGACUACCCGCUGAACUUAAGCAUAUCAAUAAGCGGAGGAAAAGAAACUAACAAGGAUUCCCCUAGUAACUGCGAGUGAAGCGGGAAAAGCUCAAAUUUAAAAUCUGGUGGUCUUUGGCCAUCCGAGUUGUAAUUUAGGAAG
rnacentral:rRNA from 1 species